CUUUCACCUUCUCCUACCAGAGCAUCCUCUCCUCCCAUGGUUUCUCUGCAACCUAAAACUUUGUCGUUGCCAAUGGCAAUGUCGUUCUUGUCCAUGGCGUUUGUCACCAAGAACAAAACAUAGACCCCAGAAAGCUUAAACAGCCAGUUCUUUCUCUCUUCUUUUCUUUAAUCUAUCUAAAUACUUCCCUUUCUUUUCCAUGUCACAAAGAUGCUAUAUAUGUAGCUGAUUUCAAAUCGUUUCUUUGCUCAGAAAUUAAGAGUCAGGAAGCUUCAACAUCUUUGUGAUCUGGAAAAGAAGGUGGAGUCCUUAGAUGUAAACUUAAUCUCUUUCUAGAUUCCUUCCAUAUCUAAUUAAUUUCUUCCAUUCAUGAAAAUUUUUAUUAUUUUUUACAAAAAUCUUUUCAACUCUAGUUGUUGUCCAUUCCUCUGUUGCAAACAGAGGCGAAUAUAGGGGGGCUGGCAGGGUCCACGCCCCCUCUCCUAAAGUGGAAAAUUGUUGCCCCUUAAAAUUAUAAAAAUUUGAUUUAAUCCUUUAAAAAUUAUAAAUAUAUAGACUAUAAAAAAUUAAAAUUUCAAUCAACCCCCUAAAAAAUUGUUGUGGCUUCGCCCCUGACUGCAAAUCAAGCAAAACAAUGGUGGAUGAUAUUUGGGUUGAACACAACUUCACUCCAGUCCAUUGCUUACUGCAAGGCCAAAAUGGAAGUUUUCCUGGGAGCUUUGGUUGUUCAUAUGGUACUUCUGGUUUUAGAUUAAAUUUAUUUCUCUUUUAUUUUUAAAAUGAAGACAUAUCACAAAAUUUAUGAUACAAAGAACAAGUGUAAAUUAUAUGAAUGCUUUUUAUGUAGGAAAUCAUAUGCCAUCAACUUUUGAAAUCUUUAGUGAUGCUUCUUUGAGAAUUGGUAUGGAGAUCUAAAUUAAUCAAUAUUGGUAUGUCAUGCAUGUCCACUUCUGCACCUACCGGGCUAGAAAUGGGUGGAUUCCUACACAAGAAAAAUGUUUGGGCAUCAACAAUUCAUGAGUAAAACAAACGUUAAACUCCGAGAAGCAUGGUUUUUAUAUUAAUUUUCUUAGAUCAAAUGCAAAAAGGUUAAUUGGAGUUGGACCGGUUAGGAUGUUUAUCACGACACAUUGGUUAAGAAACCAAAUUAUAUCUCUCAUGUUUCAUAUGAACAAGCUUUUGCCUAGAAAGUCCUCGACUCCACUGCCAUUGCUUGGCCUUCUCUCAUAAACAAGAGUACUUUGACAAAAAUUUCUUCACUUUCUCAUUCGGUGAUUUUUUUUCUUUUGUGAACAAAAGAAUUUCUUCCCUGCUUCAGGGGCUGUAUUUAUUUGAGAAUGUAUACUAUAUUAAUUAGUUUCCAUAGUGAUGCAUACGUUUAGAAAAUGUUAUGUACGUGGCUAUGUAUAUAAUAUGUAAAGUUAUAUUUAUUAAUUAGAUUUGGACCCUGAAGUUGUACUAAAAAUUUUAAAAAUAGAGAAAGAUAAUGUAGUUUUAGCAUAAAUAAACGUACAUAUUCCUCAUUAGUAAUGAAAAA